rnacentral:tRNA from 1 species
GGGUCCGUGGCGCAGCACGGAUAGCGCGUCAGCCUUCUAAGCUGAACGUCCUGGGUUCAAAUCCCAGCGGACCCGCCA